GAAGGGAGCUUGCUCCCGGAUGUUAGCGGCGGACGGGUGAGUAACACGUGGGUAACCUGCCUGUAAGACUGGGAUAACUCCGGGAAACCGGAGCUAAUACCGGAUAGUUCCUUGAACCGCAUGGUUCAAGGAUGAAAGACGGUUUCGGCUGUCACUUACAGAUGGACCCGCGGCGCAUUAGCUAGUUGGUGGGGUAAUGGCUCACCAAGGCGACGAUGCGUAGCCGACCUGAGAGGGUGAUCGGCCACACUGGGACUGAGACACGGCCCAGACUCCUACGGGAGGCAGCAGUAGGGAAUCUUCCGCAAUGGACGAAAGUCUGACGGAGCAACGCCGCGUGAGUGAUGAAGGUUUUCGGAUCGUAAAGCUCUGUUGUUAGGGAAGAACAAGUGCGAGAGUAACUGCUCGCACCUUGACGGUACCUAACCAGAAAGCCACGGCUAACUACGUGCCAGCAGCCGCGGUAAUACGUAGGUGGCAAGCGUUGUCCGGAAUUAUUGGGCGUAAAGGGCUCGCAGGCGGUUUCUUAAGUCUGAUGUGAAAGCCCCCGGCUCAACCGGGGAGGGUCAUUGGAAACUGGGAAACUUGAGUGCAGAAGAGGAGAGUGGAAUUCCACGUGUAGCGGUGAAAUGCGUAGAGAUGUGGAGGAACACCAGUGGCGAAGGCGACUCUCUGGUCUGUAACUGACGCUGAGGAGCGAAAGCGUGGGGAGCGAACAGGAUUAGAUACCCUGGUAGUCCACGCCGUAAACGAUGAGUGCUAAGUGUUAGGGGGUUUCCGCCCCUUAGUGCUGCAGCUAACGCAUUAAGCACUCCGCCUGGGGAGUACGGUCGC
rnacentral:rRNA from 1 species